rnacentral:rRNA from 1 species
AUUGAACGCUGGCGGCAGGCCUAACACAUGCAAGUCGAGCGGAUGAAGGGAGCUUGCUCCUGGAUUCAGCGGCGGACGGGUGAGUAAUGCCUAGGAAUCUGCCUGGUAGUGGGGGAUAACGUCCGGAAACGGGCGCUAAUACCGCAUACGUCCUGAGGGAGAAAGUGGGGGAUCUUCGGACCUCACGCUAUCAGAUGAGCCUAGGUCGGAUUAGCUAGUUGGUGGGGUAAAGGCCUACCAAGGCGACGAUCCGUAACUGGUCUGAGAGGAUGAUCAGUCACACUGGAACUGAGACACGGUCCAGACUCCUACGGGAGGCAGCAGUGGGGAAUAUUGGACAAUGGGCGAAAGCCUGAUCCAGCCAUGCCGCGUGUGUGAAGAAGGUCUUCGGAUUGUAAAGCACUUUAAGUUGGGAGGAAGGGCAGUAAGUUAAUACCUUGCUGUUUUGAUGUUACCAACAGAAUAAGCACCGGCUAACUUCGUGC